GACGAACCGUGCGAACGUUAUUCGGAAUCACUGGGCUUAAAGCGCGUGCAGGCGGGCCGCCCCGUCGGUCGCUGAAAUCCCCCGGCUCAACCGGGGAACGGGCGCCGAUACGAGCGGCCUGGAGGGGGGUAGGGGGAGCCGGAACUCACGGUGGAGCGGUGAAAUGCGUUGAGAUCGUGAGGAACGCCCGUGGCGAAAGCGGGCUCCUGGACCCCACCUGACGCUCAGACGCGAAAGCCAGGGGAGCGAACGGG
rnacentral:rRNA from 2 species